CCAAGAAAUAGCAAAAAGUCCAAAAAAAAAAAAAAGGACAAAGUUAAGAAGCAAAAAUUAACCAGGAACAUUACCAAGGCAAAGAAGACAAAGCUAUAAUGUUUUUAAUAUAACAAGGUGCAUAAAAAUCAAUAAAACUUCCCAGAAGGUAAGAGGCAGAUGACAUGAAAAACAAUUAAUAAGGAAAUUUUAAAAAUUUGUUAUCAGAUCUAGGAAAAUAGUCUCCUUACCAAUAAUCAAAAAAAUUAAAACUAAAGCAAGGAAAUACCAUUUUGGCUAUCAUAUUAGUUACAUUUAAUAGGAAAUGUGAACAUCAGAAUUUGGAGAGUAACCAGGCAAAAAGACACAAUCAUUUACACAUUCUGGCAGCAUGGAUAAAGAGCCUCCGGGAUGUUCUACUUAAACAUUCUCCUUUUGAAAAUAUUGAAAGUUACAGAUGACAAAUAUAAAAAUCAUUUCAUUUCAGAGUUUUUCAUUGCAUUGUUAUUUAUAAUAGUGAAAGCUUAGAAAUGUCCUAACAUUGGAUAACAAUAUUUAAAUAUUGUAUAAGUUAUGGAUCUUUUGUAUGGUAUAAUUUCAGUUAAAAAUAUGAAGACAAUUCUUAUUAUAUGAUUAACCAAAAUGUUACAGAAAUGUAUGUCUAUUAUUUUCUCAAUUAAGUCAAGGACAAAACCUCUUAGAGAAAGAGGAGGGAAAUGAUGUAUAAUAACAGUGGUUUUCUUUAGUGGAGAGAUGGUGAGUGUUUCUUUUCUUCUUUUUCUUAUUUGUAUGUUUUACCAAUUUACUCUAAGGAUUAUGCGUUUUUCUGAAGUAAAGAAAAAUGAGAUGGACCAGAUCUUAAAAACUAAAAAAAAAAAAAAAAAUCACAAACCUGUUCCAAUAAAUCAUAAUCACUCACUGUCACAGUCUUAGUUUUUUUUUCUUUCUUUAUAUUUUUUUCUACUGCACAGCAUAGUGACCCAGUUACACAUAAAUGUAUACAUUGUAUUUUCUCACAUUAAGUGUUCCAUAAUAGUUGACUAGACAGAGUUCCCAGUGCUACACAGCAGGAUCCCAUUGCUAAUCCAUUCCAAAGGCAAAAUUCUGCAUCUAUUUACCCCAAACUCUCACUCCCUCCCACUCCCUCCCCUUCCCCCUUGGCAACCACAAGUCUAUUCUCCAACUCCAUGAUUUUCUUUUUUUGUGGAAAUGGUCCUUUGUGCCAUAUGUUAGAUUUCAGAUAUAAGGGAUAUCAUAUGGUAUUUGUCUUUCUCUUUCUGACUUACUUCACUCAGGAUGAGAGUUACUAGUUCCAUUCAUGUUGCUGCAAAUGGCAUUAUUUUGUUCUUUUUUAUGCCCAAGUAGUAUUCCAUGUGUAUAUAUACCACAUCUUCCUAAUCCAAUCAUCUAUCAAUUGAAAUUUGUAUUGUUUCCACAUCUUGGCUAUUAUGAAUAGUGCUGCAAUGAACAUGCGGGUGCAUGUGUCUUUUUAUAAGUAGAGAUUUUUUUUCUGGAUACAUGCCCAAAAGUUGGAUUCCUGGGUCAUGUAUCAGUUCUAAGUAUGAUCUUCUAAGGUACCUCCAUAUCAUUGUCCAUAGUGGUUGUACUAGCUUCCAUUCUCAACAACAGUGCAGGAGGGUUCUUAGUUUUUUUGUUUUUUUCUUGCCACACCUGUGAUGUAUGGAAGUUCCCAGGCUGUGGGUUGAAUAGGGACCUGCAGCUAGGACCUAUGCCACAGCUAUGGCAAGGCUGGAUUCAGGCCACAUCUAAGACCUAUGCUUUACCUUGCAGCAAUGCCAGAUCCUUAACCUGCUGAGGCCAGUGAGGCCAUGGAUCAAACCCACAUCCUCCCAGACACUAUCUUGGGUUCUUAACCUAAUUUGCCACAGAGGGAAUGCCUCACAGUCUUAGUUCUAAUCCCAGUUGGGUGAUUUUUGACCAGCGCAAAUAUAUCAGUGCCUGGUUUCCUCUCCUAGAAUUAUUAUUGCUCACUUAUUCCCAGAAAUUAGUGCUCCUUUUUGGUUCAACUUUCUCUCUCUGUAGCUUAAUCCCUGUAAGUGAGGUGUUUCUAGAGCUGGGCUUGGAAAUGGCCCCUGAUAUUUGGGCAUUUGACCCUUUUAGAUAUAUAUUGUCAACAUUUAUUGUAAUGAAUGGGCAGGUUAACUAUAGACUGACUUGUGACUUGGGCUUCCUCUGAGUAGCUACAUUCUGUCUGAUGUCAUCCUUUGAUGAUUUCCACUCUCUGGUUUAAGUCUGCUUCAUCAUCAAUACCCAAUAAUCAAGUCACCUACAGGGAUUGCUGUAUACUCCUCAUCCAGGCUGUAGCUCUUUCCUUGGCCAGUGGAUCCUAAUCCAGUCCCACCAAGUCAGGCAUUCUUCCUUCUUCAAACCUGUUUGGAAUGAUGAGAACCAUCCUGCUUUGAGGUUUUCAAUGUAAUGAUGAAAAUGUACUGGAAGAAGGCAUUUCUUGGAGCCUGAGCUUCUACUGUGGGAGAUGCCCUUGGACUGAGUAGAACUUUUCCCCCAGUUGAAGAAUUUGCACAAAGUCUCCUUCAUAUCCCUGUUCCUCAGGCUGUAGAUAAAGGAGUUCAGCAUUGGAGUGACCACUAUAUUUACCACAGAGACCACCAUUCCUGUGCCUGCAGAGUAGGAAGAGGAGGGCUUGAAAUACACCAGAAAGAGGGUCUCAUAGAUGAGAGUGACUACUGUAGAAGACUUUGUGCUUUCCCACUGCAGAGGGAACCCUGAAAAUGGUGUUGAUGAUGUGGGCAUAAGAGACCAGGACACAGGUGAGAGGGAUAUUGCCCAAGAGAAUGGCUUCAUUUAACAUGGUGACCUGAAGGCAAGUUUGAGGAGUGGGGGCACAUCACAGAAGAAGUGUGGGAUGGAAUGGGAGGCACAGAAGGAGAAGUGAGACAUGAGGCGAGUGAGUGAGCAGGCCAGGAGGUGGGCACAGAGCCAAGAUGUGGUGACCAGCAGCAGACAGCACUGGGGACACAUAAUCAUGUUGUGGUAGAGAGGGAGGCAGAUGGGCACACAGCGGCCAUAUGACAUCACAGCCAGCAGGAAGUCACUGAGCAGGGUUAAUGCCAUGAAGAAGUACAUCUACAUGAGGCACCCAGCAUAGGAGAUGGUGUGAUGCUGUUUAUGGAUGUUGAUAAGCACCUUGGGGACAAUGCCUCAGGAGAAGCAGGUGUUGAUUAAGGACAGGUUGGCCAGAAAGAAGUACAUGGGGAUGUGGAGUUGAGGGUCAGAGCCAAUGGCCAGGAUGAUGAGUAGUUUCCCUAUCACAGUGACCAGGUACAUAGCCAGGUGGAGCCCAAACAGGAGAGGAUGCUGCUCUUGGUGUGGAGAGAAGGCCAUGAUCAGGAAGUCAGAGAUGCUGGUUUGAUUUCUGAUUCCCACUGAAAGUAGAAAAAUUUGUGGAAAAUAUUGCUUAAAUACCUGUAGACUCCAAAAAUUUGUAUCAUUCAAAGUCUUUUGUCUGAUUUUCUGAUUUUUUUUAAUGUCACAGAGAUACUCUGGUAUCUCUUGCUGGUGGGCAUGUAAACAUGUACAGAGAUGAGAACUCAGUACAAUGAUUAGGAGACCUGCUGGGGGUGAACUCUGCAUUUUAGCUGUCCACUAGGUGGUCCUGUAGACUUCCCAGAGGAGGUUGAACUGGAGAUUAGCUAGGAAGAGGAUUCCUAAGUCUUAGUCCACACCUACCUGUUUAAACAGGAAAGCUAGGGAUUUCAUAGGCUUGUGAAGUUGAAUAAGGUGUCUGUGGGGGUAUGUAUUUACUAGAAAAUUCUUAAGGAUAGUUCUCUGUGUGUUUGUCUCUCUUAUAUGUCUCUCUCUGUGUGUGUACAGUGUGUUGUUCAAGAGUAAAGAAGGGAUGCUCAUUACAUAGAAAGGUCAUAGUAGCACUCAGAUAUUCUUGGCAUGGUGGGAUUAUUUGUACUCAUUUUUUUUGAAGAUCCAUCAAAUGAGAAAAUGUGUAUAAAGUUACUUUAUAAACUCAAAGAUAUUUUAUAAACAAGCAUUCCUAUCAUCAUCAACGUCAUCACCAACAUCAUCACCAUCAUCAUCAUCACUAUUAUCAUCAUUAUCAGCAUCAUCAUCAUUAUCUUUAUCGUCAUCACCAAUGUCAAAAUUAUCUAAUCCUCAGUCCUUAGGAAUAUUGUCUUUGGCAUUUUAUAGACUAUUUGGGAGUCCUUUCUGGCUGUGUUAUCCUCUGCAACAUACACAUCCUCAGGUCCUCUUUUUACUUCAGUUUCCUCAUCUGUAAAUUGUGUGCCCACUUUUUCUACUUAUCACAGAUGAGUGAAAUGAUAUAUUCAAAGCACUAACACAGAGUAGGUCUUCAAUAAAUUGUGAUACUUGUUAUUAAUAUUUCUAGAAACAGUAGUAGAUAAAAUAGAAACUGAGCUUCCUGAUUC
rnacentral:lncRNA from 1 species